CGGGGGCCAUGCGGGAAUCGAACCCGGGUCCUAGUGGUCGAAAACCAAACGGUUUACCCAGCCUUCCACCGACCCCC
rnacentral:tRNA from 1 species